ACUGAAACACAAGUUCCCAUACGAUCACCAAAGUUAAGCAAUAUCGAGCCUGGUCUGUACCUAGAUAGGUGACUGCUUGGUAAUACCA